UACGGAGGGUGCAAGCGUUAUCCGGAUUCACUGGGCUUAAAGGGUGUGUAGGUGGUCAAGUAAGUUAGUGGUGAAAUCUCCGGGCUUAACCCGGAAACUGCCAUUGAUACUAUUUGUCUUGAAUACUGUGGAGGUCAGCGGAAUAUGUCAUGUAGCGGUGAAAUGCUUAGAUAUGACAUAGAACACCAAUUGCGAAGGCAGCUGGCUACACAAAUAUUGACACUGAGGCACGAAAGCGUGGGGAUCAAACAGG
rnacentral:rRNA from 1 species